rnacentral:rRNA from 1 species
CCUACGGGAGGCUGCAGUGGGGAAUAUUGGACAAUGGGGGGAACCCUGAUCCAGCCAUGCCGCGUGUGUGAAGAAGGCCCUCGGGUUAUAAAGCACUUUCAGUGAGGAAGAACGCCUGGUGGUUAAUACCCAUCAGGAAAGACAUCACUCACAGAAGAAGCACCGGCUAACUCCGUGCCAGCAGCCGCGGUAAUACGGAGGGUGCGAGCGUUAAUCGGAAUUACUGGGCGUAAAGCGCGCGUAGGUGGCUUGAUAAGCCGGUUGUGAAAGCCCCGGGCUCAACCUGGGAACGGCAUCCGGAACUGUCAAGCUAGAGUGCAGGAGAGGAAGGUAGAAUUCCCGGUGUAGCGGUGAAAUGCGUAGAGAUCGGGAGGAAUACCAGUGGCGAAGGCGGCCUUCUGGACUGACACUGACACUGAGGUGCGAAAGCGUGGGUAGCAAACAGGAUUAGAUACCCUAGUAGUC